rnacentral:rRNA from 1 species
UACGAAGGGGGCUAGCGUUGCUCGGAAUCACUGGGCGUAAAGGGUGCGUAGGCGGGUCUUUUAAGUCAGGGGUGAAAUCCUGGAGCUCAACUCCAGAACUGCCUUUGAUACUGAGGAUCUUGAGUUCGGGAGAGGUGAGUGGAACUGCGAGUGUAGAGGUGAAAUUCGUAGAUAUUCGCAAGAACACCAGUGGCGAAGGCGGCUCACUGGCCCGGUACUGACGCUGAGGCGCGAAAGCGUGGGGAGCAAACAGG